GACGAACGCUGGCGGCGUGCUUAACACAUGCAAGUCGAACGAGUGGCGAACGGGUGAGUAAUACGUGGGUAAACUGCCCUCUUUUUGGGAUAAGCCUUGGGAACGGGGACUAAUACCGGAUAAAGGGGGAUGGGCUCGCGGCCUAUCAGUUUGGUGGUGGGGUGCUGGCCUACCGAGGCGGUGACGGGUAGCCGGCCUGAGAGGGUGACCUGCAACAUUGGGACGGAGAUACGGCCCAGACUCCUACGCGGGGCAGUAGUGUGGGAGAUUGCCCAAUGGGCGAAAGACUCAUGCAGCGACGCCGCGUGGGGGAUGAAGGCUUUCGGGUUGUAAAACUCUUGAGCUAGCGAAUGGGUAGGUGGAGAAGAAGCGCCGGCUAACUACGUGCCAGCCGCCGCGGUAAUUC
rnacentral:rRNA from 1 species